rnacentral:lncRNA from 1 species
CUCCCCACUGGCAUUUGCAGAUGUUAUCCACCUUGCUUUGUUUGGGUAGGCUAAAAAAGGCAAACCUUUUUCAUCUCCUCUGGCUUUGGGCUGUUUUCUUGAUGUUCUUUAGCUGUUUUAGUUUGAUGCCAUCUCUCUAAAGCAUGAGUGGCCAGAUCAGUGCUCGGUGGUGCUGAUGGGACUUUGCCGCACCCUUUCUGUCAAGGCUGAAAUGAAGUUAUGCAUUAUUUGGCUGUUGACUCGCAUUUGUGGAGCUGGACCUCUGGAAAACACGGGCGUAUGUUGGUCAUGAAUUCUACAAGCUCCAGAGCUGCAGUUUGUAUUUAACCAUAAAUUCCUCAUGCUUUGAGCACAUCACAAGGCAAAGCAGUGCAGUCAGUGGUGUUGCAAGCAGACCCACCAGUGUCUCCAUCACGCUGGCUGCUGGCGUUCCUCCUUCGGUUCAGGUGCUGUGUAAUGCUCAGCGAUACCCACAGGUUAGUGUUAUCACUGAAACAAGGAAAAGGGCUUUCCCAAAAUACUCUGUGAGCAAGCACAUACUGGAAGAGUUUGUGCAACCUAUUGUUAUUUGGGCACUCUACUGUUAACCACCAGACAGCACCCUCCUCUCCUCUCCUCCUUGAGAUGAUCACUGUGGUUAUGGAGGGGAGGACGAACCAUUUAUGGCAAUAAAGAGGUAGCCUUAUGUCA